UGGGGAAUAUUGGGCAAUGGGCGCAAGCCUGACCCAGCAACGCCGCGUGAAGGAAGAAGGCUUUCGGGUUGUAAACUUCUUUUAAGGGGGACGAACAAAUGACGGUACCCCUUGAAUAAGCCACGGCUAACUACGUGCCAGCAGCCGCGGUAAUACGUAGGUGGCAAGCGUUAUCCGGAUUUAUUGGGUGUAAAGGGCGUGUAGGCGGGAGCGCAAGUCAGAUGUGAAAACUCAGGGCUCAACCCUGAGCCUGCAUUUGAAACUGUGUUUCUUGAGUGCUGGAGAGGCAAUCGGAAUUCCGUGUGUAGCGGUGAAAUGCGUAGAUAUACGGAGGAACACCAGUGGCGAAGGCGGAUUGCUGGACAGUAACUGACGCUGAGGCGCGAAAGCGUGGGGAGCAAACAGG
rnacentral:rRNA from 1 species